rnacentral:rRNA from 1 species
AUUGAACGCUGGCGGCAUGCUUUACACAUGCAAGUCGAACGGCAGCGCGGGCUUCGGUCUGGCGGCGAGUGGCGAACGGUUGAGUACUGCAUCUGAACUUGCCCUGUCUUGGGGGAUAGCCCGGCGAAAGCCGGAUUAAUACCGCAUACGACCUUAGGUUGAAAUCGGGGGACCGAAAGGCCUCGCGCUAUUUGAGCGGCCUAGGUCGGAUUAGCUAGUUGGUGGGGUAACGGCUUAACAAGGCGACGCUCCGUAGCUGGUCUGAGAGGACGACCCGCCACACUGGGACUGAGACACGGCACAGACACCGACGGGAGGAAGCAGUGGGGAAUUUUGGAGAAUGGGGGCAAGCCUGAUCCAGCCAAGCCGCGUGCGGGAAGAAGGACUUCGGGUGGUAAACCGAUUUUGUUCGGGAAGAAAUCAUCUGGGCUAAUACCCCGUGGGGAUGACGGUACCGGAAGAAUAAGCACCGGCUAACUACGUG